CUUCGGGGUGUGACUGCGUACCUUUUGUAUAAUGGGUCAGCGACUUAUAUUCUGUAGCAAGGUUAACCGAAUAGGGGAGCCGGAGGGAAACCGAGUCUUAAUUGGGCGUUAAGUUGCAGGGUAUAGACCCGAAACCCGGUGAUCUAGCCAUGGGCAGGUUGAAGGUUGGGUAACACUAACUGGAGGACCGAACCGACUAAUGUUGAAAAAUUAGCGGAUGACCUGUGGCUGGGGGUGAAAGGCCAAUCAAACCGGGAGAUAGCUGGUUCUCCCCGAAAGCUAUUUAGGUAGCGCCUCGUGAAUUCAUCUCCGGGGGUAGAGCACUGUUUCGGCUAGGGGGCCAUCCCGGCUUACCAACCCGAUGCAAACUGCGAAUACCGGAGAAUGUUAUCACGGGAGACACACGGCGGGUGCUAACGUCCGUCGUGAAGAGGGAAACAACCCAGACCGCCAGCUAAGGUCCCAAAGUCAUGGUUAAGUGGGAAACGAUGUGGGAAGGCCCAGACAGCCAGGAUGUUGGCUUAGAAGCAGCCAUCAUUUAAAGAAAGCGUAAUAGCUCACUGGUCGAGUCGGCCUGCGCGGAAGAUGUAACGGGGCUAAACCAUGCACCGAAGCUGCGGCAGCGAACGUAUCACCCAAGACAACUUUGCGGAGUUGACGAUUGACGGAGCGAAGCGACGUCAAAGCGUUCAUUAAAGUCGAGUUGGCUUAGGGAUACGUUCGUU
rnacentral:rRNA from 1 species